rnacentral:pre_miRNA from 7 species
AGGAACAGCUAUGUACUGCACAACCCUAGGAGGGGGUGCCAUUCACAUAGAGUAUAAUUGAAUGGCGCCACUAGGGUUGUGCAGUGUACAGCCUACAC